AACCCAUGUUGAGGAUAUUUCCGCAGGAGCUCCUUGAACCUAUCCCAUGUCUUAAAAGCAGACUUCAAUUCUGAUUUCACAAAGGUGGAAAUUUCAUUCCAGAGCUU